CUGAAGAUAUAGGGUUUGGGAAUGCGUCACAACGGCGUAUGACCAACCCUUACUCUUUCAUCCACACACACCUUUGUGCACCAUGGGAACGAAAAGUUCCCCUUUCCACAUAAAUACCAAGUUAUAUGCAUGUUUUUGUAACACUCUACGGAGUAAUGUA
rnacentral:misc_RNA from 1 species